CACGAAGGGGGCUAGCGUUGCUCGGAAUCACUGGGCGUAAAGGGUGCGUAGGCGGGUCUUUAAGUCAGGGGUGAAAUCCUGGAGCUCAACUCCAGAACUGCCUUUGAUACUGAGGAUCUUGAGUACGGGAGAGGUGAGUGGAACUGCGAGUGUAGAGGUGAAAUUCGUAGAUAUUCGCAAGAACACCAGUGGCGAAGGCGGCUCACUGGCCCGGUACUGACGCUGAGGCACGAAAGCGUGGGGAGCAAACAGG
rnacentral:rRNA from 1 species